CUCCACUGGACACCAGCUCUAUCCACAGGUCUCUCCGCUGGACACCAGCUCUAUCCACAGGUCUCUCUCCUGGACACCAGCUCUAUCCACAGGUCUCUCUACUGGACACCAGCUCUAUCCACAGGUCUCUCUACUGGACACCAGCUCUAUCCACAGGUCUCUCCACUGGACACCAGCUCUAUCCACAGGUCUCUCCGCUGGACACCAGCUCUAUCCACAGGUCUCUCUCCUGGACACCAGCUCUAUCCACAGGUCUCUCUACUGGACACCAGCUCUAUCCACAGGUCUCUCUACUGGACACCAGCUCUAUCCACAGGUCUCUCUACUGGACACCAGCUCUAUCCACAGGUCUCUCCGCUGGACACCAGCUCUAUCCACAGGUCUCUCCGCUGGACACCAGCUCUAUCCACAGGUCUCUACUGGACACCAGCUCUAUCCUCCAUGACCACUGCCACAUACACUAUAUAGACAGAGGAUAUACUGUCUGUCUGUCUGUCUGUCUGUCUGUCUGUCUGUCUGUCUGUCUGUCUGUCUGUCUGUCU
rnacentral:lncRNA from 1 species